ensembl:lncRNA
GGCCCUGGUCUAAUGUAGUGCUCUAUAGUGCCCUAUAGGCCCUGGUCUAAUGUAGUGCUCUAUAGGCCCUGGUCUAAUGUAGUGCCCUAUAGGCCCUGGUCUAAUGUAGUGCCCUAUAGGCCCUGGUCUAAUGUAGUGCCAUAUAGGCCCUGGUCUAAUGUAGUGCACUAUAGAGCCCUAAAGGCCCUGGUCUAAUGUAGUGCUCUAUAGAGCCCUAUAGCCCCUGGUCUAAUGUAGUGCCCUAAAGGCCCUGGUCUAAUGUAGUGCUCUAUAGGCCCUGGUCUAAUGUAGUGCUCUAUAGAGCCCUAUAGGCCCUGGUCUAAUGUAGUGCUCUAUAGGCCCUGGUCUAAUGUAGUGCUCUAUAGUGCCCUAUAGGCCCUGGUCUAAUGUAGUGCUCUAUAGAGCCCUAUAGGCCCUGGUCUAAUGUAGUGCUCUGUAGGCCCUGGUCUAAUGUAGUGCUCUAUAGAGCCCUAUAGGCCCUGGUCUAAUGUAGUGCUCUAUAGAGCCCUAUAGGCCCUGGUCUAAUGUACUGCCAUAUAGGCCCUGGUCUAAUGUAGUGCACUAUAGAGCCCUAAAGGCCCUGGUCUAAUGUAGUGCUCUAUAGAGCCCUAUAGGCCCUGGUCUAAUGUAGUGCCCUAAAGGCCCUGGUCUAAUGUAGUGCUCUAUAGGCCCUGGUCUAAUGUAGUGCUCUAUAGAGCCCUAUAGGCCCUGGUCUAAUGUCGUGCUCUAUAGAGCCCUAUAGGCCCUGGUCUAAUGUAGUGCCAUAUAGGCCCUGGUCUAAUGUAGUGCACUAUAGAGCCCUAAAGGCCCUGGUCUAAUGUAGUGCUCUAUAGAGCCCUAUAGGCCCUGGUCUAAUGUAGUGCUCUAUAGGCCCUGGUCUAAUGUAGUGCUCUAUAGUGCCCUAUAGGCCCUGGUCUAAUGUAGUGCUCUAUGGAGCCCUAUAGGCCCUGGUCUAAUGUAGUGCCCUAUAGGCCCUGGUCUAAUGUAGUGCUCUAUAGAGCCCUAUAGGCCCUGGUCUAAUGUAGUGCUCUAUAGUGCCCUAUAGGCCCUGGUCUAAUGUAGUGCCAUAUAGGCCCUGGUCUAAUGUAGUGCACUAUAGAGCCCUAAAGGCCCUGGUCUAAUGUAGUGCUCUAUAGAGCCCUAUAGGCCCUGGUCUAAUGUAGUGCCCUAAAGGCCCUGGUCUAAUGUAGUGCUCUAUAGGCCCUGGUCUAAUGUAGUGCUCUAUAGAGCCCUAUAGGCCCUGGUCUAAUGUAGUGCUCUAUAGGCCCUGGUCUAAUGUAGUGCUCUAUAGAGCCCUAUAGGCCCUGGUCUAAUGUAGUGCUCUAUGGAGCCCUAUAGGCCCUGGUCUAAUGUAGUGCUCUAUGGAGCCCUAUAGGCCCUGGUCUAAUGUAGUGCUCUGGUCUAAUGUAGUGCUCUAUAGAGCCCUAUAGGCCCUGGUCUAAUGUAGUGCACUAUAUGGGGAAUAGGGUGCCAUUUGAAACACCAUCUUUCUCUGUGAUGGGGG